rnacentral:misc_RNA from 1 species
AACGCACGAGACCUGCGGACCUGCGGAAGGAUCAUUAGUGAACGCCCUCACGGGCUUAUAACUAUUCCAAACCCCUGUGAACCGUGCCCUUCGGGGCUAUUUUACAAACAUGGUGUAAUGAACGUCAUAUAUCAUAACAAAACAAAACUUUCAACAACGGAUCUCU